GACGAACGCUGGCGGCGUGCCUAAUACAUGCAAGUUGAGCGCUGAAGGUUGGUACUUGUACCAACUGGAUGAGCAGCGAACGGGUGAGUAACGCGUGGGGAAUCUGCCUUUGAGCGGGGGACAACAUUUGGAAACGAAUGCUAAUACCGCAUAAAAACUUUAAACACAAGUUUUAAGUUUGAAAGAUGCAAUUGCAUCACUCAAAGAUGAUCCCGCGUUGUAUUAGCUAGUUGGUGAGGUAAAGGCUCACCAAGGCGAUGAUACAUAGCCGACCUGAGAGGGUGAUCGGCCACAUUGGGACUGAGACACGGCCCAACCUCCUACGGGAGGCAGCAGUAGGGAAUCUUCGGCAAUGGACGAAAGUCUGACCGAGCAACGCCGCGUGAGUGAAGAAGGUUUUCGGAUCGUAAAACUCUGUUGGUAGAGAAGAACGUUGGUGAGAGUGGAAAGCUCAUCAAGUGACGGUAACUACCCAGAAAGGGACGGCUAACUACGUG
rnacentral:rRNA from 1 species